CAGAGGUCCCAAGCGUUGUUCGGAUUCACUGGGCGUAAAGGGUGCGUAGGUGGUGAGGUAAGUCGGAUGUGAAAGCUCGGAGCUCAACUCCGAAAUGGCAUUGGAAACUACCUUGCUCGAGGGUUGGAGGGGGGACUGGAAUGCUUGGUGUAGCAGUGAAAUGCGUAGAUAUCAAGCGGAACACCAGUGGCGAAGGCGGGUCUCUGGGCCGAUACUGACGCUGAGGAGCGAAAGCGUGGGGAGCGAACAGG
rnacentral:rRNA from 1 species